rnacentral:rRNA from 1 species
AACGAACGCUGGCGGCAUGCCUAACACAUGCAAGUCGAACGAGACCUUCGGGUAUAGUGGCGCACGGGUGCGUAACGCGUGGGAACCUGCCAUUAGGUUCGGAAUAACUCCCCGAAAGGGGUGCUAAUACCGGAUAAUGUCUUCGGACCAAAGAUUUAUCGCCUUUGGAUGGGCCCGCGUUGGAUUCGCUAGUUGGUAGGGUAAAAGCCUACCAAGGCGACGAUCCAUAGCUGGUCUGAGAGGCUGAUCAGACACACUGGGACUGAGACACGGCCCAGACUCUUGCGGGAGGGAGCAGAGGGGAAUAUAGGAAAAUGGGCGAAAGCCUGAUCCAGCAAUGCCGCGUGAGUGAUGAAGGCCUGAGGGUUGUAAAGCUCUUUUACCCGUGAUGAUAAUGACGGUACCGGGAGAAUAAGCGCCGGCUAACUCCGUG